CUCUGACGGAGCAACGCCGCGUGAGUGAUGAAGGCUUUCGGGUCGUAAAACUCUGUUGUUAGGGAAGAACAAGUGCUAGUUGAAUAAGCUGGCACCUUGACGGUACCUAACCAGAAAGCCACGGCUAACUACGUGCCAGCAGCCGCGGUAAUACGUAGGUGGCAAGCGUUAUCCGGAAUUAUUGGGCGUAAAGCGCGCGCAGGUGGUUUCUUAAGUCUGAUGUGAAAGCCCACGGCUCAACCGUGGAGGGUCAUUGGAAACUGGGAGACUUGAGUGCAGAAGAGGAAAGUGGAAUUCCAUGUGUAGCGGUGAAAUGCGUAGAGAUAUGGAGGAACACCAGUGGGGAAGGCGACUUUCUAAGGUCUGUACGGGCCGCAAACUCAAGGACAUUUACGGACAGCACACUGAAAGAAACGUGACGGGCAGCAAACUCAAAGGAAUUAGAUACCCUGGUAGUCCACGCAAACGUCAAAGGAAUUGACGUGCAGUAAGUGUUAGAGGAA
rnacentral:rRNA from 1 species